rnacentral:lncRNA from 1 species
AACGGGAACCGGCGCCCGGAAUGUCAGCGUGUGAAGUAGGCGCUGGCAACGCGGGGUUACCCGCUGUUAUUGAGGAGUAACGGCCCAGCGGACCACCCAGGCUUGAGGCAGCGGCGGGAACCACUCGGUUUGCUGCGAUACCAUGGAAGGAGGCGGGGGAAGCGGCGACAAAACCACAGGGGUAUUGGCCGGCUUUUUCGGAGCCGGCGAAGCAGGUUACUCGCACGCGGAUUUGGCUGGCGUCCCGCGAUACAGAUGAGUUCAUUUUACCUACCGGAGCUAAUAAAACCUGGGGCAGAUUUGAGCUGGCCUUCUUUACGAUUGGAGGGUGUUGCAUGACAGGGGCUGCGUUUGGGGCAAUGAAUGGUCUUCGGCUAGGAUUGAAGGAAACCCAGAACAUGGCCUGGUCCAAACCAGGAAAUGUACAGAUUUUGAAUAUGGUGACUAGGCAAGGGGCACUUUGGGCUAAUACUCUAGGUUCUCUGGCGUUGCUCUAUAGUGCAUUUGGUGUCAUCAUUGAGAAAACACGAGGUGCAGAAGAUGACCUUAACACAGUAGCAGCUGGAACCAUGACAGGCAUGUUGUAUAAAUGUACAGUGUCAGAGAUGGCUUUGGAUUCCCCGUUCUGUGUGCUGCUGUCUGGCUCCUGAACCCAGCUGUAGAGGUGUGUGUCAAUCCCAACUGGUGAAGUACUGAGAAGAAGCUACACAAAAGGCAGCAAAGUAUUACUUUGGAGUUUAACCUUUCUGCCAAUCCAGAGUCAAGCACAAUAUUCCAGAGGAACUCUCAAACAGAAGCUUUGGAGUUUAACCCUUCUGCCAAUCCAGAGGCAAGCACAAUAUUCCAGAGGAACUCUCAAACAGAUGUUGUAGAAAUAAGAAGAAGCAACUGUACAAACCAUGUAUCUGCUGUGCGUUUCAGUCAACAAUACAGCUUGUGUUCGACAAUAUUCCUUGAUGACAGCACAGCCAUCCAGCAUUAUCUUACAAUGACAAUAAUAUCUGUGACCUUGGAGAUACCUCAUCAUAUCACACAAAGAGAUGCAGAUAGAACUUUGAGCAUACCUGAUGAACAGUUACACUCAUUUGCGGUUUCCACCGUGCACAUUAUGAAGAAAAGAAAUGGAGGUGGGAGUUUAAAUAACUAUUCCUCCUCCAUUCCAUCGACUCCCAGCACCAGCCAGGAGGACCCUCAGUUCAGUGUUCCUCCCACUGCCAACACACCCACGCCCGUUUGCAAGCGGUCCAUGCGCUGGUCCAACCUGUUUACAUCUGAGAAAGGGAGUGACCCAGACAAAGAGAGGAAAGCCCCGGAGAAUCAUGCUGACACCAUCGGGAGCGGUAGAGCCAUCCCCAUUAAACAGGGCAUGCUCUUAAAGCGAAGUGGGAAAUGGCUGAAGACAUGGAAAAAGAAAUACGUCACCCUGUGUUCCAAUGGCAUGCUCACCUAUUAUUCAAGCUUAGGUGAUUAUAUGAAGAAUAUUCAUAAAAAAGAGAUUGACCUUCAGACAUCUACCAUCAAAGUCCCAGGAAAGUGGCCAUCCCUAGCCACAUCGGCCUGCACACCCAUCUCCAGCUCUAAAAGCAAUGGCCUAUCCAAGGACAUGGACACCGGGCUGGGUGACUCCAUAUGCUUCAGCCCCAGUAUCUCCAGCACCACCAGCCCCAAGCUCAACCCGCCCCCCUCUCCUCAUGCUAAUAAAAAGAAACACCUAAAGAAGAAAAGCACCAACAACUUUAUGAUUGUGUCUGCCACUGGCCAAACGUGGCACUUUGAAGCCACGACGUAUGAGGAGCGGGAUGCCUGGGUCCAAGCCAUCCAGAGCCAGAUCCUGGCCAGCCUGCAGUCAUGCGAGAGCAGUAAAAGCAAGUCCCAGCUGACCAGCCAGAGCGAGGCCAUGGCCCUGCAGUCGAUCCAAAACAUGCGUGGGAACGCCCACUGUGUGGACUGUGAGACCCAGAAUCCUAAGUGGGCCAGUUUGAACUUGGGAGUCCUCAUGUGUAUUGAAUGCUCAGGUAUCCACCGCAGUCUUGGCCCCCACCUUUCCCGUGUGCGAUCUCUGGAGCUGGAUGACUGGCCAGUUGAGCUCAGGAAGGUUAUGUCAUCUAUUGUCAAUGACCUAGCCAACAGCAUCUGGGAAGGGAGCAGCCAGGGGCAGACAAAACCCUCAGAAAAGUCCACGAGGGAAGAGAAGGAACGGUGGAUCCGUUCCAAAUAUGAGGAGAAGCUCUUUCUGGCCCCACUACCCUGCACUGAGCUGUCCCUGGGCCAGCAGCUGCUGCGGGCCACCGCUGAUGAGGACCUGCAGACAGCCAUCCUGCUGCUGGCACAUGGCUCCUGUGAGGAGGUGAACGAGACCUGUGGGGAGGGAGACGGCUGCACGGCGCUCCAUCUGGCCUGCCGCAAGGGGAAUGUGGUCCUGGCGCAGCUCCUGAUCUGGUACGGGGUGGACGUCAUGGCCCGAGAUGCCCACGGGAACACAGCGCUGACCUACGCCCGGCAGGCCUCCAGCCAGGAGUGCAUCAACGUGCUUCUGCAGUACGGCUGCCCCGACGAGUGUGUGUAGUAUCUGUUUUAUUUGACUGCAGUCUCCUUGGUGCAAAAACAAAAUGGGAAAAAUAAGGAUAACUCAGAAUUUCAAAAGGAAAUCACAAAUUCAGCUAAUAUUAGCAUUUUCAGUACUUUUCGUAAACUAAGUAAAUACACAAAAUGUUGAUUUUUCUGACCAUAAGACGUAUUUUAUGUCCUUCUGCCAAGGUGGAUUUGUUAGUCUCAGGCCCUCCUGGCCACAUUGCCCAAGUCACACAGGCUUCUGUAUUAUGUAUUUAGAUAAAAUGUGUGAAAACAUAUUUGAAAUAAAGUUCAUAAAUAUGCAUUGAUUUUUGUACACAUGGCA